GGAGGAUAAGGCUAAAGACAGAGGCUCCAGCUACCUUGGUGACAAGGAAUGGAGGAGAAAAGGAACAGGAAAUUUUAAUAAGAUUAGGAGGGCUUGCUUUUCUGCCAAGUGAGCCGCUUUCACAGGAGCGAUAAAUUGGAAAUGUUAUCUGGCUUGAUAUGCCAGUUUUUCUGAGAAAAUCACUCUGCCAGUGGUGACAGAAUGGAAGAGCUGAAAACAUCUUCUUUUUUCAAAGUCAUAUGUCACGAACCAAGGAGACUCCAAAAAAUAAAUUAUGGAAGAUUAUGACCACUGCUGCCAAGGAUACAGUGAAAUAGGUACAUCUUGUAUGCCCAGUAAUGUUGAAAAUUAAUAUAACCUUAUUUAAAAAGCAAUUUGGAGAUGUUGAAAGAAAGCCUGAAGAUUACCACCAUGCUUCAUGAUUCUAUCCAGGUGUCCCACAUAUGAGAGCCAAUUCCAAAGAAAUAACUACAACUUGGAAAAAACUAUAUGCAUAAAGAUGUUCAUUAUGGUGUUAGCUAUAGCAGCAAAACAAAAAAAAAAAACACAGAAAAUGUUUGCAAGAAUUCCCAAAUAGAAAAUUAUUAAGUCAGCUAUGACAUUUUCCCAGUAGGAUAUUCUGCAGCACUUAAUAUGAAAGUCACUAAGUUUACAUGGAAAAAUACCUGAAGCAUAAUCUUAAGUUAAAAUAAAUCUAAAUAUACUUAUAUGCUAUAGUUGCACUUUUUAAAAAAUAUGACAGACAGCAUGAAAUAUCCAGAAUAGGCAAAUUCAUAGAGACCAAAAGACAGGCAUAGUGGUUGCCACAGGCUGGAGGAAGAAAAGAAUGUGGAGUGACUGCUAAUGCAUAAAAUGGGUUUCCUUUUGGGGUGAUAAAAAUGUUCCAGAACAAGAU
rnacentral:lncRNA from 1 species